rnacentral:rRNA from 1 species
AUUGAACGCUGGCGGCAGGCCUAACACAUGCAAGUCGAACGAGUGGCGGACGGGUGAGUAAUGUCUGGGAAACUGCCUGAUGGAGGGGGAUAACUACUGGCAACGGUAGCUAAUACCGCAUACCAUCGGAUGUGCCCAGAUGGGAUUAGCUAGUAGGUGGGGUAAAGGCUCACCUAGGCGACGAUCCCUAGCUGGUCUGAGAGGAUGACCAGCCACACUGGAACUGGGCCACGGUCCAGAUUCCUACGGUGGGCAGCAGAGGGGAAUAUUGCACAAUGGGCGCAAGCCUGCUGCAGCCAGGCCGCGUGUAUGAAGAGGGCCUUCGGGUUGUAAAGUACUUUCAGCGGGGAGGCGUUACCCGCAGAAGAAGCACCGGCUAACUCCGUGCCAGCAGCCGCGGUAAUUC